GGGCCUGGUUGACCUCUGUGCCUAGUAGGAAUGCAGUGAGGAGGGAAGGCUUCCUAGAGGAGAUGUUAUGCAGGUUGGGCCCUGAAGGAUGAGCUGGAGUUAACCUAGUGGACAAGGAUGGAGGAAGAUGCCCGGAACGGCCAGUAACACUGACUUAGGGUAACUCGAAGUCCAUGGAUUCUUUCAAUGCCUAGAGUCUGAUUCUUUUGAGUGGUUUCUUCUAGAUCAAGAAAAUUUCCUGGAUUCAUAGAAUCUCAAGUUGGACAGAAACUUAAAAUUUCCCAGAGCUGAGUGUGCAUCUCUGCCAAGCUGUUGGGGAGUCUCUGCGUACGUCCCUCUGAUACAGGGCGCUCACUACCGCGUGAGACUGUGAAUUCACGUGAACGGCUCAGUGUGCUAGCAAGUCUUUCUUCUGUUGAGCAGGAGUGUAUUUCCUUAUUUAUUUCACUCACUGAUGCUGAUUUUCUCCCUUGGAUUGAUUUAGGACAAAUUUCCAUCUUUACGGAAUCAUGAGGUUUGUAGGUUUUCCACUGUUAUUCCCCAGGCAGUUAGUGCUUCCAUGUAGCCUCAAGGAGAGAGGCAGUGGCUGGUGCACGCGAUAGAGGGAGGCAGUGCACUGAUGCCCAAAAGUGAGACUCCCAGCCAGACAGCCCCUUAUCGUGUGGCUGUGGCAGGUAAUCUAACCUCUCUGUGCCUCAGUUUCUUCAUCUGCAAGUGGAGAUAAGCACAGUAACCGGUAUCUUUGGGUGGUGAUGAGGAGUAGUUGGCUUAAUGCUUGUGACGUGCUCAGAACAGAACUGGUGCACAGCUCGUACUCUGUGUGACCGGCAGCUGCUAUUAAAAAGGGAUGGUAAUAGCUGCCAGGCCACAGGAAUGGUGUCACAGAACUACUAAGUGAAACUAGGGGAAAAUAGCCAGCGUGGCUUGAUGAGGUAUUAGGCAUUUGCUGGUGAAUGAAAGCCAUCAGCCUCAUUCACAGACUGUCUCCGCUAUUCGCUCACUUUUGUAACCUCUCUGUCAGCCAUUGAGCUGUCACCAAGCCCUCCCUUUGCAUGGAGUCACCCUUUGCUAUUUAAAUAAAAAUACUGCAGGUCUGCGUGGGUCAUGGGCUGCAUAUUUGUGUCACAGCACAGCAGAGUGAACUUCAGUGGAAUGUCACUCACGGCUGCUCUGAAGGUCCUGGGCCACUCCUUCCCGGGGAAAUUCUCACCCACUGUCCUCUUCCCCAGGCCCCCAGGCUCCUCCUCUCCUGGGGCUCUCACACUUCUCCCUCCCAUUGCUUUCUCUGCCCUUUCACCCGGCUCCCUUGGGCUGCCCCCACCCACCACAUACCCACCAAGAGUCAGGAUUCCUUGUCUUUUUUAGAAAAGCAGUUUUUAGCCCUUUACCCACAACUUGGGCUGGGACCUAUUUCUGUAAAUCAAAAACACAAGCGGGAACCAGCAAAGGCCCUGACAUAUCAUUUCCCCUUCACUGUGAUCGAUUUUCCCACGUGGCUCUCUGCCCCCACCAGACUCUGUCAGUAAAGGGAUCCAGGCCACAAUGUAAUCUUUCCCUGAUGUAAAUUAUUCUACACCCCUGACCCCCUUUAAAUGCAGAUAGAGUUACUGUCUUUUAUUUCUUAAAGCUAUUUAAUAUCUUGCCGACUCUGCCUGGAAUGUCUUCCUUCCUUCUCCCUGGCUCCUCAAAUUCAGCCUGCCUGCCUUUAGGAAUGAGUUCCGUGUCUGUUUCCUGCAUGCAGCUUCCCUGAUCACGUGGCUUGGCAUCUUGUGGCAAGGAGCUGACACGUAGCAGAAAUGGGAGCAGUGGGCUUCCCUUCCCUCUGCUGCUCAGACCAAUCUGGAGGCAGCUCUUGGGCACCAGUCUCCUCCCCAGGGCAGCUGCCUGGACCAGACCACCGCCUGAGGCCCGCAGCCCAGAGGAAGGAGGGGCUGUGGCAGGGCAGACACCAGAGCUACGGAUGCGGAUGUGCACAGCCUGGCACAUGGAACCGGCGGGCCUUCUGAAAGGCUGAAGCCUACUCUUGCAUAAAUCACACCAGAAAGGGCUUGAUUCCUUCAUGACUGGUGUCGGCGUGACGAAGGAAGAAUCCUUUCCAUCACGCCAGCUGCCUGUGCCUCAGUGCCUUUUGGAUGCCACCUGCACUGACCCAACUCCCAUUUCCUGCGGGCACUGCUCUCCCUUCACUGUCUCUGACCUCUCCCUUGGUGUCCGGGGAAACUUCUUGAGCUCCCGACUUGAUAAUUGGAAAUUUGAUGUGUUCAUGCCUUUAUUUAGUCCAGUAUUAUGAUUCUUGCUUUUAUAAUCAUGGUUUGAAUGUCCAAGAACUGUCGCUUUUCACCACAACUUAUUAUUCUGUGUAUGUGUGUGAGCAUCUUGACUCUUUCUGAGAAUAUUGUUAUUCUGAAUGUGUCUUCCGUUUCCCCUGUCGGUGCUGUCCCCUGGGUGCUGAUUUUUCCCGCGGGCUUAGGGCCUCUCUUCCACAUCGUUUCUUCGGCUGCCCAGUGGCUUGGGCUGCCUGUUCACAUUUGCGCCGGAGGGUCUCCAUGUGUUUCUCAUGGGCUCCUCACGUCUUGGAUGGUGAUUUUUCUCUGUGUUGCUUUCUCUGUCACCUCAGUCCCUUCUGCUUUCCAUCUGCCAGCAAUUCCUCAAAAUUUCUGGUCUGCUAGCAUCACUCAUCCUACCUCCCUUCUUUUCUCCCUCUCUCCCUCCCUUCCUUCCAGUUUUCAGUCCUGGUUCACAUAGGCCUGCGCCCUCCUCCCCUCCUCCCCCCAAAUCUCCCUCCCCCUCUUCCGCCCCAGCUCCCCCACCCCUCCUUCUUCAGAAGGUAUCAUUUCAGUGAUCACAGGGACUUUGGCUGGGGGAGGACGUGGCUGUGCUCAACCUGGUAUCCCGUUGGCUGGGUCUUUCUGUGGUCCAUGCUAUGAUCCACAAGUUGCAUACCAUUUCCCUCUUUUUGUGGAUGAAGACGCUGAGGGAUGAAAUGACUUCCUUGGAGUUGCACAGUCAGUAGGGGAUGGCUUGAAAUCAUGUCCUUUGACUCCAACUUCAGUCUGUUUUGCUAUUCCUCUUUUCUGAAAUCUCAGGGACCUUUUAAUCUGCUUCCACUGUUCAGAAAUCUUUGUUCACAUCAGCAGUUGGUGUGCAUUUGGGUGCAGAGGGCACCAUGAAACUGUGUGUUUUUGGUGGGAGCUGGCCCAGGAAGACACUGCCGCCUUACUGUGGAAGCAGCGAUGGCCAGGAUUUUCACAUACUUUACAAAUCUGCAUUUAUUUAAAACUAUUCCAGAAUGUGGCUUAUUCAACAGGUCAAAAUGACUUUCUUCCCACAGUAAACUUGAACUAAUGAUGAUUAGACUACAUUGUCUGACUUAUUAAAUUGUUUAUUGAUUUUUUUUCAAGGCAGUCCUAAUAAAGUAAAUAAAGUAGUGUGGUCAAGUUCAUUCAGGGUCUCUA